CUCUUGGUGAUUCCCCAAGUAAUCUCUGCCCUAUGAGUCGUUUAAAUGGCCGCAGUAUUUUGACUGUGCAAAGGUAGCAUAAUCAUUUGCUUUUUAAUUAAGAGCUGGAAUAAAAGAGGCGACGAAAUCUAGACUAUUUAAAUUUUAAAAAAAAUUGACAAAUAGGUUAAAAGGCCUAUAUCAACCAAAGGGACGAUAAGACCCUAUAAAACUUUACUUUUUACGCAGAGUUUGGCGGGGUUACUCUUGUGCCGGGGAGUUGAGCUGGGGCGGUAGUUAUAAAAACAAUUAUAUAAGCAAUAUAUUAGAUAACAUAGUAGAACUCUUUAAGAAAUAAAACAAGUUACUUUAGGGAUAACAGCGUAAUUCCCCCAGAGA
rnacentral:rRNA from 1 species